rnacentral:rRNA from 1 species
GACAGAGGGUGCAAACGUUGUUCGGAAUUACUGGGCAUAAAGAGCACGUAGGUGGUCUGCUAAGUCGUGUGUGAAAUCCCCCGGCUCAACCGGGGAAUAGCGCUCGAUACUGGCAGGCUCGAGGUGGGUAGGGGUGAGCGGAACUCCAGGUGGAGCGGUGAAAUGCGUAGAUAUCAGGAGGAACACCGAUGGCGAAGGCAGGUCUCUGGGCCACUACUGACGCUGAGAAGCGAAAGCAUGGGGAGCGAACAGG